rnacentral:rRNA from 1 species
AAAGAUGCGCUAAUACCGCAUAAUCUCUAAGGAGAAAAGCAGGGGAUCGCAAGACCUUGCGCUUUUGGAGCGGCCGAUGUCUGAUUAGCUAGUUGGUGAGGUAAAGGCUUACCAAGGCUUCGAUCAGUAGCUGGUCUGAGAGGACGACCAGCCACACUGGGACUGAGACACGGCCCAGACUCCUACGGGAGGCAGCAGUGGGGAAUUUUGGACAAUGGGGGCAACCCUGAUCCAGCCAUGCCGCGUGAGUGAAGAAGGCCUUCGGGUUGUAAAGCUCUUUCAGCCGGAACGAAAAGGUUACGGUUAAUACCCGUGACUAAUGACGGUACCGGAAGAAGAAGCACCGGCUAACUACGUGCCAGCAGCCGCGGUAAUACGUAGGGUGCGAGCGUUAAUCGGAAUUACUGGGCGUAAAGCGUGCGCAGGCGGUUUUGUAAGUCAGAUGUGAAAUCCCCGGGCUUAACCUGGGAACUGCGUUUGAAACUACAAGGCUAGAGUGUGGCAGAGGGGGGUGGAAUUCCACGUGUAGCAGUGAAAUGCGUAGAGAUGUGGAGGAACACCGAUGGCGAAGGCAGCCCCCUGGGUUAACACUGACGCUCAGGCACGAAAGCGUGGGGAGCAAACAGGAUUAGAUACCCUGGUAGUCCACGCCCUAGACGAUGUCAACUAGUUGUCGGGUCUUAACGGGCUUGGUAACGCAGCUAACGCGUGAAGUUGACCGCCUGGGGAGUACGGUCGCAAGAUUAAAACUCAAAGGAAUUGACGGGGACCCGCACAAGCGGUGGAUUAUGUGGAUUAAUUCGAUGCAACGCGAAAAACCUUACCUACCCUCGACAUGUACCGAAGCCCGCCGAGAGGUGGGCGUGCC